rnacentral:tRNA from 2 species
GAGCCGCUAGCUCAGUUGGUAGAGCAUCUGACUUUUAAUCAGAUGGUCGAAGGUUCGAAUCCUUCGCGGCUCACCA